AUGCUGGGGGCCCAGGGAGUUGAAGGGUGUGGGGAUGGGCUGGGUAAUCUAAGCCUUCCAUGUCCAUUCCUGUAUUUGCCAGGGCACAGGUGGGCUUCCCCCAACCCAGGGACAGCGAGAGGCUCACCUGAAGGUCCAGGGCUGUCAGCUUGCCCUUGUCACCCGCAUUCCGUGCAUACUCCUCAAUGGUCCAAGAAGGUUGGCCUCACUUCACCUCGGCCAGCUCGGUCAGCCACAUUGUGGCUGGAAAAUUGGGAUCGAGACAGGCCGUGUAGAAGAGCAUGCUUCUCAGUUUGGCAAGCUGCGACAGAUCGAACCGGGCACAGAGAGAUUUGCACAGGUCCUGAUAAGAAACGGUAUUUUGCUUGCUGUCCAGUUCCUCCAAGAUCUUCACCAAGAAGAGGGAAGUUUCCUGACUGGUCCCCAUGAUUUAUAACUUGAAAAGCUUGCUGAUUACACUGAAACUUCAGGUCGGGUCUAUGGUGGCAAUACUGAGAAAAAGAGGAGGAAAAGAGGAUUAUAAACACCAGUGGAGUUUGAAGCCAAGCUUCUUACACACCAUAUAAAGAAAUACAAAGGAAAACAUUUUAAUGAUUAAAAAUGCAUUAAAGGCAGUAAAAAUAUUCAUAACAUUCAACUUAGUAAAUCCCUUCCCAGGAAUCUACCUUAAUGAUCAAUGACAAUCAUUAUGCUUAAAGAUAUUCACUGUGAUGGCACUUAUAAUAAUGAAAAAGCAAAACAUCUUAAAUAUCCAAAUAGCAGAAUACAUAAACAUGCUAUGAUAUUCCAUGAAUUUUUACAAACAUUAAAAUUACAUUAAUGUACAUUCUUACAACAGAAUACUACUCAUCAAGAACAAACUACCAGUACAUACAAGGACAUGGAUGAAUCUCAAAUGCAUUGUGCACGGGUGGAAGAAGCCAGUGGGAAGGCUACAUACUUGACUGCGUGAUUCCAACUUAAUUACAUUCUGGAAGACAUAUCAGUGGUUGCCAAGAGCCGGAUAUGAGGAGGGAGGUUGACUCAAAUGGGCACAGAGAAGGUUUCCAAAAUGAUGUAAUUGUUCUACAUCCUGGUUGUGGUGGUGGUGACUUGACUGCAUGCAUCUCUCAAAACUCACAGGACUCUAAAGUAUAAGUUUUCCUUCACAUAAGUAAUACCUCCAUUUAGAAAUUAAAUAAUGAAGACUUUUCAUAACAAAACUAUGAUAUAAUAUUGAGUGAAAAAUAUGAAAAUAAAUCUAUAUAAGAUUAUAGUGAGAUAAAAUUA
rnacentral:lncRNA from 13 species